rnacentral:rRNA from 1 species
GACGAACGCUGGCGGCGUGCUUAACACAUGCAAGUCGAACGGAAAGGCCCUGCUUUUUUGGGGUUCUCGAGUGGCGAACGGGUGCGUAACACGUGAGUAACCUGCCCUUGACUUUGGUAUAACUUCAGGUAACUGGGGCUAAUACCGGAUAGGAUCUCCUGCUGCAUGGUGGGGGUUGGAUAUUUUGGGCGGUUGGGGAUGGACUCGCGGCUUAUCAGCUUGUUGGUGGGGUAGUGGCUUACCAAGGCUUUGACGGGUAGCCGGCCUGAGAGGGUGACCGGCCACAUUGGGACUGAGAUACGGCAGAGACUCCUACGGGAGGCAGCAGUGGGGAAUAUUGCACAAUGGGCGGAAGGCUGAUGCAGCAACGCCGCGUGCGGGAUGACGGCCUUCGGGUUGUAAACCGCUUGCGCCUGUGACGAAGCGUGAGUGACGGUAAUGGGUAAAGAAGCACCGGCUAACUACG